rnacentral:rRNA from 1 species
GUGAGGAAUAUUGGGCAAUGGGCGAAAGCCGACCCAGCCACGCCGCGUGAGUGAUGAAGGCCUUCGGGUUGUAAAGCUCUGUGGGGAGGGAAGAAAAAGCGGGAGAGUAACUGCUCUCGUGUUGACGGUACCUCCUUAGCAAGCACCGGCUAACUCUGUGCCAGCAGCCGCGGUAAUACAGAGGGUGCAAACGUUGCUCGGAAUUACUGGGCGUAAAGCGCGUGUAGGCUGACAUGCAAGUCGGGUGUGAAAUCCCAGGGCUCAACCUUGGAACUGCACUCGAAACUGCACGUCUUGAGUACUGGAGAGGGAAGCGGAAUUCCGGGUGUAGAGGUGAAAUUCGUAGAUAUCCGGAGGAACACCAGUGGCGAAGGCGGCUUCCUGGACAGUAACUGACGCUGAGACGCGAAAGCGUGGGGAGCAAACAGGAUUAGAAACCCUUGUAGUCC